UUUUAAGCUACUAAGGGCUUACGGUGGAUGCCUUGGCACCAAGAAGCGAAGAAGGACGCGGAUAACUGCGAAAAGCCUCGGUAAGCCGUAACAGGCGUUAUAGCCGGGGAUCUCCGAAUGGGGCAACCCACCAGCAUGUCUGGUAUUCUGUGAUGAAUUCAUAGUUACAGAAAGCAAACGAGGGGAAGUGAAACAUCUCAGUACCCUCAGGAAAAUAAAUCAAUCGAGAUUCCCCUAGUAGUGGCGAGCGAACGGGGAACAGCCCAAACCUUGUUCACAUUGUGAACGAGGGGUUGUGGGACCUCAAUAUGGUACUGGAGAGUCUAGCAGAACGUUCUGGGAAGUACGGCCAAAGAAGGUGAUAGCCCUGUAAGCGAAAGACUCAAGAGACCUAGAGGUAUCCCGAGUACCAACGGACACGAGAAAUCCGCUGGGAAUCUGGGGCGACCACGCUCCAAGGCUAAAUAUUACUUGGUGACCGAUAGCGCAUAGUACCGUGAGGGAAAGGUGAAAAGAACCCCGAGCAGGGGAGUGAAAUAGAAUUCUGAAACCGUAAGCCUACAAGCAGUGGAAGCACUAUGUGUCUGACACAAGUGUGACCGCGUACCUUUUGCAUAAUGAGCCAGCGAGUUAUUUUUGCAUGCAAGGUUAAGC
rnacentral:rRNA from 1 species